rnacentral:rRNA from 1 species
AACGAACGCUGGCGGCAUGCCUAACACAUGCGAGUCGAACGCUCGUAGCAAUACGAGAGUGGCAGACGGGUGAGUAACACGUGGGAACCUUCCCUAUGGUUCGGAAUAGCCCAGGGAAACUUGGGGUAAUACCGGAUAAGCCCUUACGGGGAAAGAUUUAUCGCCAUUGGAUGGGCCCGCGUCGGAUUAGCUAGUUGGUGGGGUAACGGCUCACCAAGGCGACGAUCCGUAGCUGGUCUGAGAGGAUGAUCAGCCACACUGGGACUGAGACACGGCCCAGACUCCUACGGGAGGCAGCAGUGGGGAAUAUUGGACAAUGGGCGCAAGCCUGAUCCAGCCAUGCCGCGUGAGUGACGAAGGCCUUAGGGUUGUAAAGCUCUUUUGGCGGGGAAGAUAAUGACGGUACCCGCAGAAUAAGCUCCGGCUAACUUCGUGCCAGCCGCCGCCGUAACAC